rnacentral:sRNA from 1 species
UAUUCUGCCCCACGGGGAAGGAUGAGAAGCUUCGACUAAGGUUCGACUCGAGCGAAGCGAGAGAACGUUGCCGCUGGCAAUGGCCCGAA